AUUUAUAUAGUUUAAUUCUAAAACCUAUCAUUUUCAAUGAUAAAAUAAGUAUAUGUCUUUAUAAAUA
rnacentral:tRNA from 1 species